rnacentral:pre_miRNA from 1 species
UGUAAACAUCCUACACUCUCAGCUGUGGACUCAAGGUAGCUGGGAGAGGGUUGUUUACUCC